UCAUAGACCUUUUCUCACCUUGAUCCCAAC
rnacentral:sRNA from 1 species